CUCUUCAGUGACAUGGUCUUGUUCUAACCUUGUGUCCAUGGCAUCAACAAGUGAACCAGUUUGCCAUGUGUUGAACACCCAGUCUGCUAGCACCAGAGGUUCACCAUGGGCAUUCGCCUCAAUUGGCCGUCUUCCACAUGCAACUUCCAUCAGGAAUAUGCCAAAUGCAUACACAUCUGUUGCCUUGGUUGCCUUCCCGAGCCUAGCCAGCUCAGGAGCAAUGUAACCCCAGGUGCCGGCCACACGCGUGGUAUGGGCGUCGACUUCAUGUCCGUGCAACCUUGCAAGGCCAAAAUCACCUAGUCUUCCAUUCAUUCCAUCAUCAAGGAGCAC
rnacentral:rRNA from 1 species